GGGGGGGUGGUGUUCGGCGCUGCCCCCGUCGGGCGCCCCGCUCGGCCCCGCCCCGCGCCGCCAUGGCCGCGCUGCACGCCAAGGCCGGGGGGCCGCCGCAGAUCCCGGACACGCGGCGGGAGCUGGCGGAGCUGGUGAAGCGCAAGCAGGAGCUGGCGGAGACGCUGGCCAACCUGGAGCGGCAGAUCUAUGCCUUCGAGGGCAGCUACCUGGAGGACACGCAGAUGUACGGCAACAUCAUCCGCGGCUGGGACCGCUACCUCACCAACCAGAAGAACUCCAACAGCAAAAAUGACCGGAGGAACCGCAAGUUCAAGGAAGCUGAGCGGCUCUUCAGCAAGUCCUCGGUCACCUCGGCAGCGGCUGUCAGUGCAUUGGCUGGAGUUCAGGAUCAGCUCAUUGAGAAGCGGGAGCCAGGCAGCGGCACAGAGAGUGACACUUCUCCAGACUUUCACAAUCAGGAGAAUGAGCCCAACCAGGAGGAUGCCGAAGAGCUGGAUGGGUCUGUGCAGGGGGUAAAACCCCAGAAAGCUGCUUCUUCCACUUCUUCUGGGAGCCACCACAGCAGCCACAAAAAACGAAAGAACAAAAAUCGACACAGGUAUGUAUAUUAGGUUAGGCUGGGAAGUUUUUUUUAAAAACAGAAAAGCGUGAUGGAGGAUUGAUCUCAAGUUAAACAAAAAGCCAAGAGCCGACUACUAGACUCAUCAGUGCUGCUGCUCCUGGGAUUUAGGUCUGUGUGAAUCCCCGCUGAGAAAAACGCCAGUCAAGUGAACGAGGGCGAUGGCAGCUCCCUGGCCAAGUGUCUGCAGCUGGGAGCGGCUCGCUCGAAAGAACUUCAAUGGGGGGAGAAACCUUGGACCAUGUACUUUGCAUCGUUUUUAAAUCGCCUGAGUUGCAGGAAGACUUAAGGUGUAGUAGUAGUAAUAGUCCUCAAUUCCUGACUAUUCUGUGCUUCCACGUCUGUCGGGAACUUCCUAAAAUUGGCCAAUCUCGCUGCUGCCGCCCCUGUCAUCUGCAAACCCAUGGAGAGGAGUUUCUUUUUCCACUGGAACCGGGCUAUGAUUCAAUGUGUCCCAGCCGUGUUGUAAGGCUUAGAUUACUUUUGUGGCUGAUACUUAGCUUUGUAGCUUUGUUUUUGGUUUGUUUUUCAUUUUUUUUGUUGGUUAUGUUCUUGGUGGUUGUCUUUUUUUUUUUAAACUGAGGUGUAUCGUUAACAAAUUGACUUUUGGUUUCUUUGUUUUAAUCCAUUAGAGUGGAAGGUUCUUCAUUUUGUGGAACAGCUCGUUUUGAUUCUUACUCAAGCAGAGGAGAAGGUGCUUAGACCUUCUUUCUCUAACUUGAAUUUUAAACACCAUCCCCUAAGAUUUCUACAGUGCUUUUAGAUGCAGGGAAGACUGGAGCUCAGAGUCACCUUGCUCUUUGCUGUCUUUGAGGUUAGGUGGAUUCUCUUUUUAAUACAAACCUCUCUCAUUUGUACAUAAACAAUAAAAGUUCAAUGUUUGUCUCUCU